AUAUGUGUCAUCCUUGCCACUAUGGUGGCUCUGGUUCAGCAGAUCAUGCUCAUGUAACUGGUCUGAUGCCUGUGAAUUGACUAUUAUCUUCUGGACAUAAAGAGGACUUGCUGAUGACUGUGCAGAAAUGGUGGUUGGUUCUGCUUCUGCUGAUGACUGUGCUGUUAAGCCUUUGACAAGUUUAGUUGCUAAGUGGGGAAAGAGGCUUUUCACAAGAUGUAUUUCAAUUGAAGCUACUGUUGAUAAUGUGCAGUUGUAUUUCAGUCAGUUUGGCUAUGUUUUGGAUGUGUAUCUUGCCAAGGUAAAAG